rnacentral:pre_miRNA from 1 species
GAAGUACUCCCUCCGUUUUAAAUUACUUGUCUUGAAUUUGUUUAGAUAUAUAUCUAGACUUUUUUUAGUGCUCGUAUCUAGACAAAUCUAAGACAAGUAAUUUCGAACGAAGGAAGUAGCUC